rnacentral:rRNA from 1 species
AACGAACGCUGGCGGCAGGCUUAACACAUGCAAGUCGAGCGCCCCGCAAGGGGAGCGGCAGACGGGAGAGUAACGCGUGGGAAUCUACCCAUCUCUACGGAAUAACGCAUGGAAACGUGUGCUAAUACCGUAUACGUCCUUCGGGAGAAAGAUUUAUCGGAGAUGGAUGAGCCCGCGUUGGAUUAGCUAGUUGGUGGGGUAAAGGCCUACCAAGGCGACGAUCCAUAGCUGGUCUGAGAGGAUGAUCAGCCACACUGGGACUGAGACACGGCCCAGACUCCUACGGGAGGCAGCAGUGGGGAAUAUUGGACAAUGGGCGCAAGCCUGAUCCAGCCAUGCCGCGUGAGUGAUGAAGGCCCUAGCGUUGUAAAGCUCUUUCACCGGUGAAGAUAAUGACGGUAACCGGAGAAGAAGCCCCGGCUAACUUCGUGCCAGCAGCCGCCGUAAAAC